UGGGGAAUAUUGCACAAUGGGCGCAAGCCUGAUGCAGCCAUGCCGCGUGUAUGAAGAAGGCCUUCGGGUUGUAAAGUACUUUCAGCGGGGAGGAAGGGAGUAAAGUUAAUACCUUUGCUCAUUGACGUUACCCGCAGAAGAAGCACCGGCUAACUCCGUGCCAGCAACCGCGGUAAUACGGAGGGUGCAAGCGUUAAUCGGAAUUACUGGGCGUAAAGCGCACGCAGGCGGUUUGUUAAGUCAGAUGUGAAAUCCCCGGGCUCAACCUGGGAACUGCAUCUGAUACUGGCAAGCUUGAGUCUCGUAGAGGGGGGUAGAAUUCCAGGUGUAGCGGUGAAAUGCGUAGAGAUCUGGAGGAAUACCGGUGGCGAAGGCGGCCCCCUGGACGAAGACUGACGCUCAGGUGCGAAAGCGUGGGGAGCAAACAGG
rnacentral:rRNA from 1 species